rnacentral:rRNA from 1 species
AUAUCAUUAAGCGGAGGACAAGAAAACAACAGUGAUUCCCUGAGUAACGGCGAGUGAACAGGGAAAAGCCUAUGCUUGAAUCCGCGGCGGAAGGAACCGGAAGUCGUGGAAUUGUAGUGCAAGGGCCAAGGGGAGGUGUUGCAGUCAGAUGAAGUGCUCUGGAAAGUGCCGCCGAGGAGGGUGAAAGCCCCGUCAAUUCUGUACGCGCAAUACUAAUAUCCCUACGGACUCCAAGAGUCGCGCAGUUUGAUAGUGCUGUGCAAACCGCUGGUGUCGUGCAGCGAAGGCUAAAUAUUGCACCAAGACCGAUAGCGCACAAGUAGUGUGAACGAAAGAUGAAAAGCACUUUGAAAAGAGAGUGAAAAAGGCCCUGAAGUCGUUGAGCGCAAAGGGUAUAAGAGCCAUUAACCGCCUUGCGCAAGCGAGGCAUGUCAGUACGGAUUUGCGUUCCCUGCGCGGUGUUCUUGUCUGAAGCCUUCGGGUUUCAGGAGGGAUGCUGGGUGCAGCGGAGCGUCGAUUACGGAAGACUAGCGGGGAGUUGCUUGCAGAGG